GGGGGUCAUGGCUCAGUGGUAGAGCAUCUGCUUUGCACGCUUGAGAUCCCAGGUUCAACCACCAUCAUCACCA
rnacentral:tRNA from 1 species